AUUUUGACCCUGAAAGUACUGUGAAGAAUGAAGCUGGCUGUUUGCCAAAACACCCGCCGUCUGAGAAGAAUGGAAACGCUUGUGAGCGUGUUUUUCAUGGCUCUUGCUCACAGUUCGCUAGCUCUUUUAUCAUGUGCUAGGAGAACACGUCAUCCUUUCCGGGAAGUGAAGACUCACCCAGGAUUUCGCAUAAUUUUACAAGCUGAGAAAUGGGAAAACGUGUAGGAUCAGGGAAACGGCAGUUUUGUUGUGGACAGGCAUUCAGAUGGCAGCGGGAAAGCCACGGACAGGACUCCCAGGCCUUUCAGGCACUCUGACCUCAUUUCCUUUUUGAAGAGCGCAUCAUGUAGUGUGUUAUUUUGGACGUGUGUGUAAAGUGGUGCUUAAGCAUGGCAGACGCAUACCAACCGGCUCUCUCCUUACAAACGAAGGGCAUGCAACCUAUGAAGAACUAUGCAGCUUGGUGAUGUGUGCAACAAAUAAAUGGGUUUAAAAAGUG